rnacentral:rRNA from 1 species
AUUGAACGAUGGCGGCAGGCCUAACACAUGCAAGUCGAACGAGUGGCGGACGGGUGAGUAAUGUCUGGGAAACUGCCUGAUGGAGGGGGAUCACUACUGGAAACGGUAGCUAAUACCGCAUACCAUCAGAUGUGCCCAGAUGGGAUUAGCUAGUUGGGGGGGUAACGGCUCACCAAGGCGACGAUCCCUAGCUGGUCUGAGAGGAUUACCAGCCACACUGGAACUGAGGCGCGAGCCAGACUCCAACGGGAGGCAGCAGGGGCAUAUAUUGGAGAGAGGGCGCAGGCCAGAUGCGGCCAUGCCGCGUGUAUGAAGAAGGCCUUCGGGUUGUAAAGUACUGUCAGCGGGGAGGCGUUACCCGCAGAAGAAGCACCGGCUAACUCCGUGCCAGCAGCCGCGGUAAUAC